UUUUUCUUUUUUUCUCUUGCUUUCUCUCCCUGUCUUUCCUUCUCUCUCUCUCUAUCUCUCUGUCCCCUGCCAAAGGCAUUAAAAAGAGAUGGGAACCACUCCACCAAGCAUGUGUGUGUGUGGGGUGGGGGGGUCCUAACCCAUGGCCCUGCUUUGCUGGGGAAGCAGGUUGUGAACAAGACCCCUGGCACAAAUGAGAUGAGGUUAGUGCUCGCAGUUUAAUUCUUAAUAGGGCACAGCGUGCUCUGCGGAUAUGAAAUAUACAAUAUGGGGGAAAUGGAGUCCUUUCUAGAAUUAGUUUUUCCUCUUGGUUAAUGAGGGUGAGAGGAGAAUGAAGGCAUAAACUGAGAGCGAAGUAAAACCCAAGAGGCCGAGCCCUCCAGGGAGACACUGCUGGAGAGGGGCCAGGGCUGCUUUGGUUUGCCCACAGGGUGACUGGAUCACAGGAGGUUAGAGAGGAUGUCAGGAGCUGAGAGGGUCCGGCCUCCUCGUCUCAUAUAGGCAGUGACUGUCCAAAGAGGUAGCAAAAGCCCACAGCAACCACUUGGCCUCUCUACAGGUCUCCUGGGACCAGCCGCAGCAGACACCAGAUGUGUUAAUGCCUUGUUCUCUCAACCAGUAAGAACAUAACUGUUAAUUGGUAAAUGUGCACACUGUUAGAUGUCAAAAGCCUAGUCUAAGAAGGAGAAAAAGACACAGACUUGUUUUUCUCAGAGCUUCCUUCGAAGGUUCCUCAUAAAACUUAGGUGGAGUCGUAUCUGCUUAGGUUUCUUUCCUCCUUCUCCCAGUUAAGUUGUUAAAGGGAAUACAUUUUCUGGAGAUUUGAAGCAGAAAGACAAUCAGAUAUACUGGGCAAAAGUAGUGAUCUUGAGGAAAAUUCUUUCUGUUGUGUGUAAAUGGUUAAAUUUCUGAAUAGAGGCCAUGUGCAGAGAGAAGGAGGCAAAGAAAUGGACAUAAAUUUCAGCAAAAGUAGAUUUCACGAAACCAUGAGGUCCCCAAAGUUAACAAAGUUCUAGUAACUUACAGGUGAAGCAUUUCA
rnacentral:lncRNA from 1 species